CUCCAGCGCUUCGAAUGCGGACGCCGAGCCUGGCUGAGGCUGCGAAGGACGAGCGGCGCAGGGACCCCGCAGGCGGCUGGGGCUUCCGCGGCGCCCGCCUCUGCUCCCUCCCCUCGGGCGCUGGGUGCCGACCGGCCGGCCGGCGCCGCCUCCUGGGAAGAUGGCGCUGCACUUCCAGAGUUUGGCUGAGUUGGAAGUGUUGUGUACUCAUCUCUACAUAGGGACUGAUCUUACACAAAGAAUAGAGGCUGAGAAAGCACUCUUGGAACUUAUUGACAGUCCAGAAUGUCUCAGCAAGUGUCAACUUUUAUUAGAACAAGGAACAACAUCCUAUGCUCAGCUCCUUGCAGCAACAUGUCUUUCAAAACUUGUCAGCCGAGUCAGUCCUUUACCUGUUGAGCAGAGGAUGGACAUCAGAAACUACAUUCUGAAUUACGUGGCAUCACAGCCCAAGCUGGCUCCCUUUGUCAUCCAAGCUCUUAUUCAAGUCAUUGCUAAAAUCACUAAGUUGGGGUGGUUUGAGGUUCAGAAAGACCAAUUUGUCUUCAGAGAAAUUAUUGCUGAUGUGAAGAAGUUUCUCCAGGGUACUGUGGAACACUGCAUAAUAGGAGUAAUAAUCCUUUCUGAAUUGACUCAGGAAAUGAACCUGGUUGAUUAUUCUAGACCUUCAGCAAAACACAGGAAAAUAGCUACCUCAUUUCGUGAUACUUCUCUCAAAGACGUUUUAGUGCUAGCAUGCUCUCUUUUAAAACAGGUGUUGGCCAAACCUUUAAAUCUUCAGGAUCAAUGUCAGCAAAAUCUGGUAAUGCAGGUCUUGAAACUGGUCCUUAACUGCCUUAACUUUGACUUCAUUGGCAGUUCAGCAGAUGAAUCUGCAGAUGAUCUUUGCACGGUGCAGAUUCCAACAACUUGGAGAACAAGUAAGAAAAAAGUUUGGUAUGAAGGGUCAUCAACAUAAAGACACAGUAUUAAGCAAUAUAGUUCCCCUGUGUAUAGUUAUCUUUUUGCUAGGAAUUAAAAAAAGAGCUCAAAUGGAUUUGUAACCUGAAGUAGCUGCUGAUGGCUAAUGUUGAAAUGUUUUCUGUAAUUCAUAUUAUAGUAACUUCUAUAUUUUGAUUUAGGAAAAAAGAAAAAGAAGGACUGCACUAGAGCUAAAUGGAGAGCAGAUUUGGGAGGAAAGUCAAGAGCUCUGAC
rnacentral:sRNA from 1 species